CUUGGCCUACGGGGGGCAGCAGUGAGGAAUAUUGGUCAAUGGACGAGAGUCUGAACCAGCCAAGUAGCGUGAAGGAUGACUGCCCUAUGGGUUGUAAACUUCUUUUAUAUGGGAAUAAAAUGUUCCACGUGUGGGAUUUUGUAUGUACCAUAUGAAUAAGGAUCGGCUAACUCCGUGCCAGCAGCCGCGGUAAUACGGAGGAUCCGAGCGUUAUCCGGAUUUAUUGGGUUUAAAGGGAGCGUAGGCGGAUUGAUAAGCUAGAGGUGAAAUGUCCGGGCUCAACUCGGGAACUGCCCCUAAUACUG
rnacentral:rRNA from 1 species